rnacentral:rRNA from 1 species
AGUCAACAUGCCCAAAGGACGUGGAUAACCUCGGGAAACUGAGGAUAAACCGCGAUAGGCCAAGGUUUCUGGAAUGAGCCAUGGCCGAAAUCUAUAUGGCCUUUGGAUUGGACUGCGGCCGAUCAGGCUGUUGGUGAGGUAAUGGCCCACCAAACCUGUUACCGGUACGGGCUUUGAGAGAAGGAGCCCGGAGAUGGGCACUGAGACAAGGGCCCAGGCCCUAUGGGGCGCAGCAGGCGCGAAACCUCUGCAAUAGGCGAGAGCCUGACAGGGUUACUCUGAGUGAUGCCCGCUAAGGGUAUCUUUUGGCACCUCUAAAAAUGGUGCAGAAUAAGGGGUGGGCAAGUCUGGUGUCAGCCGCCGCGGUAAUACCAGCACCCCGAGUUGUCGGGACGAUUAUUGGGCCUAAAGCAUCCGUAGCCUGUUCUGCAAGUCCUCCGUUAAAUCCACCUGCUCAACGGAUGGGCUGCGGAGGAUACCGCAGAGCUAGGAGGCGGGAGAGGCAAACGGUACUCAGUGGGUAGGGGUAAAAUCCAUUGAUCUACUGAAGACCACCAGUGGCGAAGGCGGUUUGCCAGAACGCGCUCGACGGUGAGGGAUGAAAGCUGGGGGAGCAAACCGGAUUAGAUACCCGGGUAGUCCCAGCUGUAAACGAUGCAGACUCGGUGAUGGGUUGGCUUCGAGCCAACCCAGUGCCGCAGGGAAGCCGUUAAGUCUGCCGCCUGGGGAGUACGGUCGCAAGACUGAAACUUAA